rnacentral:rRNA from 1 species
UACGGGGGGGGGUAAGCGUUGUCCGGACUUACUGGGCGUAAAGGGCUCGUAGGCGGCCAACUAAGUCAUACGUGAAAUCCCUCAGCUUAACUGGGGAACUGCGUGUGAUACUGGAUGGCUUGGAUUUGGGAGAGGGAUGCGGAAUUCCAGGUGUAGCGGUGAAAUGCGUAGAUAUCUGGAGGAACACCGGUGGCGAAGGCGGCAUCCUGGACCAAUAUUGACGCUGAGGAGCGAAAGCCAGGGGAGCAAACGGG